AUCCCUGGUACCAAAACAAAACAAAAGCCCACCAUGAAAUCCACAUCCUGGAGAGCCCACAAAGAAGCCACACCUGUGUCUGCCCAAGGGCCUCAUCCCACAGGUCGACCUGAUUUCUAUGCACAAAUAAUAGUCCCUUGAUAUAUACAUGCCCUGUGGCUGCAGAUCCUGCCUUAUCACCAGCUGCUGAAUGUGUGGCCUUGCUUGGGGACUGUCAGAGAAAGGUCUGCUCAGCCAGUUCCCAGUCCUGUGGCUCUGGCUCCAGGGCCUUGGACCCUGGCCAAGCCAGAUGCCCACAAACUCAUGUUUGUCCACAGCUCCAAGUCUGUGCUGCUUGCACCCAAAUCCCUAUGUAUGCACACGAGGUUCCUCUCAAAGUUCAGCUUCAGGGCCCCUAAUCACAACCCCACCCAGUUCAACUGCUGGGCAGGCCAGCAGGGUCUGUGACACCACAUUUCCUCCAACAGCCUCAAGGGGAGCAGCCUCACCUGGUCCUCCUUGUCCCUUGCCCUGGACGGGGAAGAAAAGAGCGGGAAUGAGGAGCCUGCUCUAUUUUUACCAAGAGGUGCAGCUGGGUGUCCACACGGCUUGGACUUCGGCUCCCACCCCGUCAGAGAGGCCCCAGACCUAGAAGGCCGCACUGCCUGAGCCUCACCAGGCACUGGAGCAGGGGAAGCGGGUCUGGCAUCUCCUCUGGACCUGAGGCGGACAUAGAGGUCGGCAGCUGCGCUGGGGAAACAAAUCAAUGAAAAACCAUCAUAAAACUCCCCACUCCAGUCUCCAGGAUGUGUGGGUGACAUUCCACGCCUGCGAGAGACACACUCAUCAGCUCCAACUUCGGCAACGGUGGCGGCAGCUCCGCUCCACGUCCGCCUCCUUUGGCCUUAAUAUUUAAUUUUGCGAUUUGGGGCAUUAUUAGUGGUGUUUUUAUUAGCGCAUGUGCGUGUGAGCGUUUG